rnacentral:lncRNA from 1 species
AAAGAUAAAGUUACAAUUAAAAUCACUUGAAUCACGAGGAACAAAAGGUGUUGAGAAAUUUGAAAAGGAAAGAAAAAUUGACAGAGAAAGUUGUCACCGAAGUUCAAGAAAGAAGAUCAGAGUUGGCAAAGAAAGAAAAAGAUACUUUGCACAAACGGUGAAAGAUAACCUUAGAAGAGAAACUGCAUUUAUAUAAUGCAACAAAGGAGACAUAUGAUAACAUGAAAUUAUAUCACAUUUUAGGACUUAAUUCAAUU